UCCUUCUUAGCUCAGCUGGUUAGAGCAUCUGACUGUUAAUCAGAGGGUCCUUGGUUCGAGCCCAAGAGAAGGAGCAA
rnacentral:tRNA from 2 species